UACGUAGGGUGCAAGCGUUAAUCGGAAUUACUGGGCGUAAAGCGUGCGCAGGCCGUUAUGUAAGACAGAUGUGAAAUGCCCGGGCUUAACCUGGGAACUGCAUUUGUGACUGCAUGGCUAGAGUUUGGCAGAGGGGGGUAGAAUUCCACGUGUAGCAGUGAAAUGCGUAGAUAUGUGGAGGAACACCGAUGGCGAAGGCAGCCCCCUGGGUCAAGACUGACGCUCAUGCACGAAAGCGUGGGGAGUAAACAGG
rnacentral:rRNA from 1 species